CAGUCGCCGCGGUAAUACGGAGGGGGCUAGCGUUGUUCGGAAUUACUGGGCGUAAAGCGCACGUAGGCGGCUUUGUAAGUUAGAGGUGAAAGCCCGGAGCUCAACUCCGGAAUUGCCUUUAAGACUGCAGAGCUAGCAGAUGAGAGAGGUGAGUGGAAUUCCGAGUGUAGAGGUGAAAUUCGUAGAUAUUCGGAAGAACACCAGUGGCGAAGGCGGCUCACUAGUCCAUUACUGACGCUGAGGUGCGAAAGCGUGGGGAGCAAACAGGAUUAGAUACCCCUGUAGUCCCUGUCUCUUAUAC
rnacentral:rRNA from 1 species